UACUGCGAGUGAGAGGGAAAGCUCAAAUUUUAAAUCUGUUAGGUUUACCUAACCGAGUUGUAAUUUGAAGAAGCGUUUUCUGCGAAUUUGGUUAGUCCAAAUCCUUUGGAAUAAGGUAUCAUGGAGGGUGAGAAUCCCGUUCGGUUAACCAAAGCGCUUUACGAUACGCUUUCAAAGAGUCAAGUUGUUUGGGAUUGCAGCUUAAAAUGGGAGGUAAAUUUCUCCUAAGGCUAAAUAUUGGCGAGAGACCGAUAGCGAACAAGUACCGUGAGGGAAAGAUGAAAAGAACUUUGAAAAGAGAGUUAAACAGUACGUGAAAUUGUUGAAAGGGAAACGAUUAAAGUCAGUCGUACCUACGAGUAAUCAACCUACUCGAGUGCGAUUUUGUGGGUAUGUUAGAGUUUAAACCUUCAUGCUUACAAAUUGGUGCUCUUUGGGCGUACUUUCUCGUAUGGUAGGUUAACAUCAAUUUCGAUCGUUAUAAAAUGACUGGAGGAAUGUAGCUUCGACCUCGGUUGAAGUGUUAUAGCCUUUGGUAGAUGUAAUGAUUGGGAUUGAGGAUUGCAACGGAUACCCUCUGGGCUAUUCGUCUGAUCUCUGGAAGUUACCUUGGUGUCGAAAGCGUGCUUACGAUAUUAAGGUUGACGGCCAAUAGNNNGAACGUGAUAAAUCGUAAGG
rnacentral:rRNA from 1 species